GGGGUGUGUGGGGGGGAAACACUUAAGCAGGUAAAAAACUCCCGCAGUGGGGUUUUAACCCAGAGCUGAAUGUCUCCGUCUCCAACAUUGGGUCGGAUUGAGGUUUUCUCGUCGAUGUGAGGCGAUGGGAUCGAGGGUUCCUCCGCUCUGUUGUUGGCCCGAAGAGCUUUUCCUCUGUGAGAUCUCGUAAGGAGAGCUGAAUAAAUAUGAUUUUCAAAUAGCCGAAGAAUUUAGCGGUGUGUGGGGGGGGAGAGGUUUGGAUGGGGGGGGCGGGGGAGGGUGGGAGAGGCAAAGCCCGGAGCCUGCAGUUGCACUGCUGCAGGAAGAACGGCUGGUAUCUGGCCUGAAAUUAAUCUUUCCCCAUAUUUAUUUACUUUAAGAGACAAUCCUGGAAUAAAUAGAGGCAUCUGGAGGACCAAGAAAUAUUUUUGCUGCCUCUUCAGAGCGUCUGCUUUGGAUUCACGCUGUCUAUUGUGUGCAAUCCUCCCCCCCCCCCGCACCCCCCCUUUCUUCCUCCCAUUUUUUUUUUUUUUUUUUAAUAGCAGAAAAGGAACAAAAGAAAGAGAGAAAGAACUUGGGCAGGCAGAAGAGGAGAGGAAGGGAGUGGGGAAAGGACAAAGCGGGGGGAAGAAGGGAACUCCGGAGCUGCUGAGAUGCAGAGGGAAGUUGGUUGCAGCUGACUUCGCUUUCUCGUACGGAGCGGUCGGAGCUCAGCACCGCCCUUCCCCGCUCCGCACGGCCGGAGGGGAGAAUCGCUCAAAGCGAAAGCAAAAGGUUUGGAAGGGAGAGGAGAGGGAUGCACCGCGCUGAGCACACAGCACUGUCCGGGAGCGGGCGGACAUGGGAAGGAGCAUUCAGCCCCGAAAAGGUAUUGAAAAGAGGAGGUGAGAGGCAAAGCCGUGAGCCUGCCUGGAAAGGGACCCGAUGGUUCACCAUCAUUUCGAGAAGAGAUCAUCUCCCCUCCAAGAGGGUAACCGGAGCUUUGGAGGAGCACAAACGCUGCGAGAUAACCUUGCAGGAGCUGAAGGCGAUGGCAAAGCGUGCUGUAAUUGCGGUGCGGAUCUUUGCUGGUGUUUCUGGCCAGGAGGAAUGCUCGGGAUCCCGCUGCUCUGAGCGGACUUUGAUUCGCGUAACUUUGCGCGCAGCCACGAGGGAUGGAUUCGGAUCGAGAGGAGCGAGAACGGAGAGUGUUUCGCGGGUGGGGGUAGUGGUGGUGAUGUUCGCAUCGUGUUUUGGGAUUCCGCAGCACAGAGGGGGGAGAGGAGGCUGCGUUAACCCGAGUUUGCUGUAAGGUGAAGUGUCUCCAUCUCCUCCUCGCACUGCUCGUUGCACUCCCCGAACGGAAGGGGUUUCGUAAGGCAACCGCGAUCGUUUCACGCGUUUUUUUAUGCGGGUUUGAGUGCGUGCGGAGCCCACGGCGACGCGGGGAGCGUUCAGUGCAACGGACGUUCCCGUGUCAAUAAAAGAAAUCUUCACCAGAUAUGUUCGCCUUUG
rnacentral:lncRNA from 1 species